UACGGAGGUUCCAAGCGUUGUCCGGAUUUAUUGGGUUUAAAGGGUGCGUAGGCGGAUAAUUAAGUCAGUGGUGAAAUCUUGCGGCUCAACCGUAAAAUUGCCAUUGAAACUGAUUAUCUUGAGUACAGUUGAGGUGGGCGGAAUGUAUCAUGUAGCGGUGAAAUGCUUAGAUAUGAUACAGAACACCUAUUGCGAAGGCAGCUCACUAAACUGCAACUGACGCUGAGGCACGAAAGCGUGGGGAUCAAACAGG
rnacentral:rRNA from 1 species